AUCACAUCAAGAGCAGCUGAGAGACCUAGCUCGUUGACGCUGCAGCAACCCCCCGGUUUCGGGUGAGGGUGCUAACGCUAGGACCGAUGGAGU
rnacentral:ncRNA from 2 species